GGUGAGAUGGCCGAGCGGUCUAAGGCGCCAGACUAAGGUACCUUGUGCUCAAUAUCUGGUCUCUUCGGGGGCGGGAGUUCGAAUCUCCCUCUCAUCA